AUUGAACGCUGGCGGCAUGCUUUACACAUGCAAGUCGAACGGAAGCGCGGGCUUCGGCCUGGCGGCGGGUGGUGAACGGGUGAGUAAUACAUGGGAACGUGCCCAGUAGUGGGGGCUUGCUCGACGAAAGCCGGAUUAAUACCGCAUACGUGCUGAGGGUGAAAGCGGGGGCUCAUCGGAUCUCGCGCCAUUGGAGCGGCCGAUGGGAGAUUAGCUAGUUGGUGGGGUAAAGGCGUACCAAGGCGACGAUCUGUAGCUGGUCUGAGAGGACGACCAGCCACACUGGGACUGAGACACGGCCCAGACUCCUACGGGAGGCAGCAGUGGGGAAUUUUGGACAAAGGGCGAAAGCCUGAUCCAGCAAUGCCGCGUGUGUGAUGAAGGCCUUCGGAUUGUAAAGCACUGUUGUCGGGAACGAAAAGAACUGUGCCAAUACCACGGUUCGAUGACGGUACCCGCAGAAUAAGCACCGGCUAACUACGUG
rnacentral:rRNA from 1 species